rnacentral:lncRNA from 1 species
GGGAAGGGGUCAUUCUGGGCUGCAGGGCUGAGGAAUGUGGGGGCCAGGGAAUGCCUAGGAAGGAAGGCGUUACUCUCCUUGGAUGCAGAAACAGGCUCAGCAAAGGGAAGGGACCCACCCAAGGUCAUGCUCAUGGGACACUCGUGUGGCCACUCAGCCUGUCUUCUGAUGCCUUCGCCAGCCUUGACCUGGCUUCUUCGCUGGGCCAGGGUCUGUACCAGGGGAAGUCACUAACUGCCUGGGGCAUCCAGUGGGCAUUCGGAGGUGGAUUCCUUUCACGGGAUUUUGGAAGAUGGUCAGGUGGAGGAGGUGAGAGGAAGGUCAGACUAGACAUGAGGGUAGCCUAGUUAAGCAAGGGGCCGUGGAGCGGGUCAUGAGGUACCCUUCAUGAGCUGUCCCCCUUCCCAGUCCUGCCCCAUCCUACCUCCCUUUCCUUGCAGGGUGAGCUGGACCCACCUGAGCCCAUGCGUGUGGGAGACCUGGGCGAAUGCUUCUUCCCCUUGUCCUCUAUGGCCGUCUCACCGGAUCCAGAGAACUUCCUGUGUGAGAUGGAGGAGAUCCCAUUCAACCCUGUCCGGUCCUGGCUGAAACAUGACAGCAGUCAAGCAGCACCCCCAAGUCCCUUCUCCCCGGACGCCUCCAGCCCUCUCCUGCCCAUGCCAGCCGAGUUCUUCCACCCUGCAGUGUCUGCCAGCCAGAAAGGCCCAGAAAAGGGCACUGGCACAGGAACCCUCCCCAAGAUUGCGCUGCAGGGCUCCUGGGCAUCUCUGCGGUCACCAAGGGUCAACUGUACCCUCCUCCGGCAGGUACCGACACCUCCC